rnacentral:lncRNA from 1 species
ACACCGCUUUCAGUUCCCAGUUCUCACGGAAGUUCGUCUGCACUCCGCAGUACAAAAGGUAAAGCCGAAAGCGGCUAAAGUUCUCAGGCGACACGCGGUAGCACAGACGUUGUAUGGUGAGGCUGCCAUCAGGAUAAUUGUAAUUGCAAAGUUUCAGUACCGAGUUUUUGCGAGUAUAUUGGGGAAAAUGAGUCCGUUUACGCAGAAAUUUGCUUGUUUUUCUCCAUUGCCUAAAAUGUUUUACUCGCGUGUGUUCCCUGUUCCGUUAUAGCCGUUACCUCUUAACGUGAUUGAAACUUGAAAAAAGUCUAGUCAAAUUAAGGAAAGGUUUGAAACAGCCCAUGUGCCCAGCAGAUCGCAUUGGUGCAAUAAGUGAGUCAUCUUCCUUUAAAAAAAAUUCUACAAGAAGAUCACACCACCACUUAGCACAUAGAUUCAAUAGAAGCAAGUCUAAGUGUACAGUGUGAUUUUUAAAAUUACCUCUGAUUGUGAAUAACCCGGUGAUGUAGGACAAGUACUUAACGAAGUGAGCUCAAACAUUCAGUGACUGCAACUCCUAUCUAUGUGAAUCUGCCAGACAGAAUUUUCAGUUCACCUGACCUAAUAGCAUUUUUAAAGGAGUGAUGAGAACGUCAACGCUGGUGUGGAAUCGUCGAAAAGCAACCCAGUUUUUGCUAACGUGUUCAUGAAGGUUCAACGGAGAAAACGUUGAGAUAACUUUUCAUCCCUUCAUUCAACAGUUUCCACAAUGUGAUCAACAAGAUUAUUGAACUCUGGAAUCUUUUGGUCACGAUCUACAUGGACGCCAUUGCUGGUUCAUUACAAAACUCAUCUUUGUCGCCUAAUAAACUGAAAUUCUUGAAGAAAUUGGCUUUGGUGAUGGAGGAAAGUCAUACAUGACACUACUCGAGCCCCCAUCAGAUGAACUGUUGCUGCAGUUUUGGCCAAGACGGAAUUUGAAAAGCCCCUCUAUUAUGAGCUGUACUGUCUGAGGCAGCAAAAAUUGCUGGAGAGGAAAUUUCAAUCGAUAUUCAAGGUUGAGUAAACUUGUGCUAAUGACAGGAAACUACGCCAGCUUCUACGGUAGUUGCAGAUUACGUACUAUAAUAUCAUCAAGGAUCCCAUGGACUUGCGAAUGGUUGAAACCAAGACUACAAAGAGACGCCACCAAUGAUUCUACGAUUCUUUUCGUAGUAGUUGCUUAUUUCCAGUCAAUCCGGAAAGAUUUGGAAUUUCAUGAAAUGCUGCCGAGUUUGGAUCAUGGACCAUAUCGGCAUAUCAUUCAUUUGGCUGAAGAAGAUCCUGGUUCUCCCGGAUGACUCGAAACAACAACUCACACAUCUCGUCCAGGAGUAACUCGCUUAUUUUGGGGAUCCAGCAAAGAAAACCUUCACUCUUCACUCGAAUUUUCCAGUGGCGUGCCAAAUUAGAUCCACUCACCAUUUGACAUCGCAAACCACUGCUUGUUUCAUUCAAACUGCUGGAUAGCCUUCCGGCGAUCGUGAUGGAAAGAGCUGCCAUAUCUUAUCUCAUUAAUUUCAGGGAUUCGCCAUCUGUCAUGCCGGUCUAUUACAGCAGUAGUGAACGUUUUAGUACAACGGUGUACAGGAUUGUCCCGCGUCUUUCGGUAGGGUGACACACCUUUUUGAGGGGAUAGAACGACCAAUCGCGAAGGAACCAAGAACCUGGGAACUUUAAAUGGCCGCA